UUAGAGUAAGUACAUGUAACAUCUGUAACAACAUCUCUUUAAAAUACAGCUGUUGUGAAUCCUGCCCACUUCUUUGCAUGGUCAGCACAUGCUUCAGUGCUCUGAGAGUGUUUAUAGAGCUGUGAGUUUAACACUUCAUGACUGAGAGCAGAACAGAACACAAUCUUCAUCAUCACACAAGACACAACAACAACAAUGAACAACAUCAUCAUCCUCAUCUGGACCAUUGCAGCUUUUAUUCAAGCCUCCAGAGGAGUCACUCUGACUCAACCUAAAGUUAAAACUGUCCAGCUCGGUCAAACAGCUACAAUAGAGUGUAACAUAGAUGUAGGGAUAUAUAGUGACUACUUAGCCUGGUAUCAGCAGAAACCUGGAGAUGCUUCUAAACUCCUCAUUUAUAACAUAAACAGCCUCAAGUCAGGAACUCCAUCUAGAUUCAGUGGCAGUGGAACAGCGAGUACUGGAAAAGAUUUCUCUCUGACCAUCAGUGGAGUCCAGACUGAAGAUACAGGAGAUUAUUACUGUCAGAGUAGACACUUUAUCAGUGGUAGCUGGGUGUUCACACAGUGAUAAAGAGUCGUACAAAAACCUCCGUCAGUCAGAGUCACAGUGACUGCACUGAUACAGCUGAGAGA